GCCCCACCCCCCACCCCACCCACCUGGGUCGCGGCUCUCCACCUGGCCAAGGCCAAAGGGGGGCUCUGACGGAGUUGUAGUAGUGGUUAUGAGCCCGAUGCAGAAGUGAGUGCUUUGGGAUCUCUUGCCUGUUUGCACGUUUGCACCCUUUCACCCUUUCACCUGCAGGGCAAGCAUGCUUUUAGCUCUGAGACUCCCUCUGCUGCAGCCAGGACCACGACGACGACGACGAGUAGUAGUAGUAGUAGUCGUAGUAGCAGUAGCAGUAGAGUAGGCGAUGUAGUAGAAGGGUACAACAACUGGUGCCUUCCUGGCCGCCCUCCUCGGCCUAUGUUCCCUCAUGCGAUGCUGCAACUACUUAUACGAUGCGUCCGCAUCUCACUCCAAUCCACUGCUCUCUCAUUCCUUUACGUUUCAUUCCCAUUCUCCUUCGAGCUUUACCUCUCUUCUCUUCGUCCUCUUCUUCACCUUAUUGCGCUUCGUUGUUGGGUGCUCGCCUGCUUCAAGCGUUGGGUUGGUUGCUCGAAGCUGACAUUGCUUGAGGCUGGCUGUUAGGCUUGUUAUUGUUAUUGUCAUCGUCGUCUUCGUCCUAUCGCCGAUGCUGCUUGAACCGCAAUUUCUCUUAGAGGCUAGCUGCGACCAAGCGGAAGUUGUCCUUGCCACCUCAGAGCAUUGACAAAUCGAGCUUUCAUGAGUCAUGGUCUACAGCUCCUUAAUGGUUCACCGAAUAAGUGGAACGCUUUCAAAGCCGAAUCGGGUCCCGGUGCUCAGCUCUGGUCAAAACCAAUCGUAAUUAAGAGUAGUCUGAAAUGGAUGUGAGUCUUACCGUAUACAAUGUUGUGCUUCCAAGUAAGUGAUCCUAGCACAUGGCACGAUAUUCUCUUGAAAAAGAAGGUUUGAUCCAGUCAACUCUUUCCUCCAGUUUCUAAUCUCAUACUCUCCAUGUGAGAGCUCUCUCGAAGCAGUGGCUUAAGCAUAGUUACUCUAAUCACACUCUCACAUGGCUUCCGUAUAGUGCACUAGAUUUUUUGUAGAUGCAUCUGUACCUCUAAAUCUCCACUUUCUGGAUAUGCAUCCUUUUCCUAGAGACGAAGGUUUGAACUUACUCAUGUCUCAUGUUGUGUGACAGAUGAAUGCAAUCCCAGUACAUUACCUCAAAUGUUAAGUAGUAUAUGAUUGUACUGAGCAUCCAUAAUUGCUAUUGUACGUGUAUGGCAGUGACUUAAGAGCCCGUCUUGUAGUAUUUUCGUUAUCACUAGAUCCUGUGAUUUGCACCAACAUACAGCUAUGAUGUCUCUCGCUCCCCCGCCUCUCUCUCCCUCUCUCUCUUUGGGUGGUGUCGAGAACUUCUGUGGUGAACUACGUAAUACCCUCGUUCACUGUGUCGGAGAGCUUCUUCAUGUCUCAUGUCUCAUGUCUCAUCUUGAGUGGGUGUACGUUACAUUUACAUGUUCGACAGAACUCCUGCCUUGCCAGAGCAGAAUGACUAAGUCAUAUAUCCAUCUCUUUGCCUCCAAUAAAAUGUCCCCACUGACCAUCGUGGAGUGUAUCCGCAUCAUUUAAGGCCAAGUCAUUAUUCUUCAGCGAAACUCUGUGGAGUGCGUAACCUCCAAGGUCAUCGUAGCUGGUUAAAAAAAUGUUGGAUGUGCUGGUAUUCAAGAAUUGCAGAAUCUGUGUGCCGGAAUCCGUUAGAUCAGUCUGACCGUCUGAACUCAAGCGUGUAGAAGACAAACUACACUGAUUCCUCAUAAGCCCUAAACCUCCAAAGCUACCUCUUUCGAAUUUAUGCGGACGCAUCUACCGCUUCUUCGUGGGAAGUUGAUGUAAAGCGUAAGCUGAACUUAUCAGCGAACUUCUUUUCUCUAUGUUCACCAUGUUGGUCAUGGUACCAGGCUUCCCAUACCGCUUUAAAGUUUGUAAUUUGUAUUCGAUUUAUAGCAGUUGCAUCCGGCGGAUAGUAGAUACGUUAUCAAGUUCAUAUGUUGUACUUAGGGUCGAGUGUGGCCUUGUUCAGAUCCUAUCAACUUUCAUGAGAAGGCAACCCGUUCGCUCAGUUGACAGUUACAUCAGUCGACGGAUGCAGUCAUUUGAGCUUGUUGAAAUGCCAAUUGGUUUCGGUGCGUGUGAUGUACAAUCAGCUUCAAUACAGCUGGGGAAUCCGCUAGAACCUUGUUCGUCAUCAAGUUGCAUGUGACGUCUAGUGUAGUAUUGCACCUACUCCAUCUUUGGGAUGUUCUCUUUGUUCACAUCUUGUUCUGGAGGGGCUUGCAAGGAAUUCGUAGAUGACCUUACUUUGUAAUAUCUUCUUACUGAUAUCUCAGAGAUCUAAAUAACUUCCCACUUGGAUCUUUCAGUGACGCUAACACUGCCCAUCAAGACACGGAGGAUCAAAGCAAGCUGGGCGGCAUUGCAUGUGCGUCAAGCCGAGCUGAGAACUAGCUUCGAUGCUGUAUCAUUAUACUCCAGGAGCUGAGAGGAUGAGGAAAUAUGUCCUCUGUUUGUGCAUGAGCGUAUCGAUCUCAAUGCAAGAAUCCAAAGAGAGACCAUGAGGCGACGUUGGAAGUGGGGUUCAUGGUUGAACGGUGGGGAGUUGGACUGCCUGGCUCCCUGUAUGCCACCUGCGGGGCUUGUCAAAAUGAUUGCCAGGCUGCAUAGCUGGCAUCCAGGGAGCCAGACAGACCUUUCUCUUGCCUCAUCCGGGUCCCAUCGAUUGAGAACCACUUUCUGUCAGCACUUCCAAACAGGUGCAGAUGCCAAUUGACCAGGUCCUCUCGACCCCUGUGGGUACACCUACCGAUUGGCCAAGGGAACAUGUAGCGCACGUCCCAUCUGGGACUGCAUUGGCUCGCUCCUAGAUCUGCUCUAGAUUAGGUACUACAUGCUUAUCGGCAGCUUUUGAGUCGUUCUAAGGGAUAUCUUCACUCCAUUAAUCUGAAAGUAGUGGAGAUACCACAUGCAUGUUGGGGAUUACAGUAUUUGAACACAAUGCAGGGAACUUUUUCCUCCACGCUUUUACAUUCUAACCCAAAUUCAUUUGUCUUGUUGACGCCGGCAUCAAGUUGUUUCCACAGGAGAUGACGUUACAGAAGACUUUUGCAACCAAGAUGAGGAACAUGGUUUCACAUUGCUCUACUCGUCGGGUUUGCAUUGCCAAAAUAAUAUCUGCAUUUCUGCCUUGAGUUUCGAAAUGCAUGUGUGGAUUUAGAUAUGGUCGUGAGGUGACCACCAUGCUUAUUAUUAUACUUUUUGUAAUAAAAUAGUUUUCAAUUCGAUUACACUAUUGUGUUCGUACAUGCUACAGAUGAGCACGUUUUAUCUUGGGAUGAACUUGGGAUUAUGAUACUUCCACCAGAAAAAGUCUACGGCCAAAAAGUUUUUCUUUACAUCGUUUCUGGACAGUAAUGCAACCAUUUGAACAGGAUCGGAGAAAUUGAGGUAUUGCAGCCUUUGAAGGCAAUUAAGCCAUUCGGAAGCUCAACAGUCUUUGAACAUGUGUGUCUGAUGGUCAUUGAAUACAUGUACAACUUACAUUGUCCUCAUGUACAAGUGAAGGAUAGCACCUGUCAAGUUUCAAGCAGACUUGUGGUUUCGGAUCGUCUGUGCGAGACGCUGAAUCUAAGUGCAGCAUGAGAGUACCCAUGUGCAUAUUGAGGGUUUUGCAUAUAGAUAUAUAUAUAUAUAUAUAUAUAUAUAUCGUAUGAUAUAUAUGUCCAGGAUAGACUAAACGUAACUUCAAGCAGACUUGAUUUUACUUAAGGUUUUAUAACGAAACUGCAUUUUUGCAACUCAUGAUCAGUAAAGCCUAUUUAUACUAGUAUGUGCAUUGAGGUGUCCAUUCUGUUUUUGGCUUAAAAUGGGUUAGAUAGGCUUUCCAUUGUUCCAAAUGAUUGGUGUACCAAGAAAUUUCCAUUUGUGUUAGCGGUCCUUUCGACAGAGAGAUCUUGGGUGGCUUAAACUCAAUCAAUACGUCAUAAAUUUGCGGCAAGAGUACGUGAACUACUGUCCGGGGUAGUGCAGUGCAUUGCCUCGUCAAAAAGCGUACUUUUUUUACACUAGCUCCAGUGCAUUGACCAGUGAUCACUGGAAUCUAUAAGCCAUGGUUUUCAUUCUCGUUUCAGGUGAUUUACGCUCGAUACAUUGCAUUGGCACCGCGAACGCUUUUCACUGAACAAGAUACAAUGGAUUUCAUCAGAGUUGCAGACAUAUCCCCUUGCAGACAAGUCUAUCAAGGCCCCCAACCGACAAUGCAUUUGCAGAGAAACUAUGCCUGAUUUCACUGUGUCAAGAUUGUAGGAACACCUCGCCUAUGACAACUCUUAGAUCAUUUUCUGGACCUCGUAGUCAGACGCAACUGUCCUGUGGCACGAAUAAAGGGGUGUAUCACAAGCCACAGACCACAGCCACAUUUCAACCGUGAACUAUUGCAAGCCAAGUUACGGGAUAUGCAUCCUCAUCCAGCAACCCUUGCACGUUGUAUGACUACGACAUCGACCUUAAGCCUACCGAAGACGGAUAGCUGCUGAAACGGUUUCAGCGUCCAGGUCAAUUGGCCACGGAUGCGCUCUAUGUCCGAAGACGCUGCAACUGCAUAAGCGUGGAGCAUGCUUCAGACUCGACCUCCGAACUCUUUUAUCAGCUCCGACAGCGCACUUCCACCGAGUAGUCUACUGAAAUAUAUAUAUAUAUAUAUAUAUAUAAGUCUCCCACAUAUUCCAUUUGCACAAAAUUUGUGAAAACGGUGCACAGAACACGCAGACAGUGAAUCAGGCAGAGCCAGACCAGAGAGCCUAUUUCAGGGGGCGUGGUGAUUAGAUCACCCAAGGAGCACUCUUUCAUGCAGCAGAUGAGGCAAGCUGAGCAAUGCAUACCGCCAUAACGCAAGGCUGGAACUUACACGAGCUCACAUACCAGGAAGGGAGUGAAUGGGAAUCUGUGGCGAGAUGCAGCCAUGUGAGCACGGCAAUCAGCUCAUCCAUCGUCGGGGAGGACUCGCCGAGAAUUCAGCUAAACCCGGAUGCAGAUUCCGCGACAAACCAACCGAAAGUUGCUUUGCUGGGUCCUAAGCAGCGUCGAUGGAUGGGGAGGAAUGGACCAUCCCACUUGGGCCACGGUGCGUCUCUCCCUUCUGGGCUGAGCUCUGCUUGCUUUAUCCCUUGUGUUGCUUCUUCUUCCGUGGCCUUGCUCUGCCUCUCUACAUACUUACGUGAUAUGUACAUACAAGUGGUGUUUUGCCUUACAUUUGAACUUCUUUUAUGUUUCUCUUUGUGCGUGUGUUAGAAUAUGUGUAUGCAUGCAAGUGUACGUAUGGGUUUCGGAGAAAUAUUUUCCUAAACUCGAAGUUAUGGAGGAUGAAUAUUUGUCGUGUUGCUUAUACAAAUGAAAAAUUUGAGUAGAUUCAGAUUUCCUCAUUGCAGCUGUUUAUCUUUUAUUGGAAAUGGACUUUAACAAGAGUGGUAAGGAUCUUAUUUAUCUCAA